AGGAGGGGGCAGCUCACCAGUUGCCAUUUGGUUCCGUCGAUCCUGCGUCCGUUGUCUUUGUCGUUGUCGCUGAGUUUUGUGUGCGGCUGCGGGCAAGCAAGGAAACAAGAAGACUAGUGCAUGUCUUAUUGUUCUUUCUCCUGCACUUCUUUACACCUGCUCUUGGCACGCGCAGCUACCGUCGUAGUGCUAUGGUGCUUCUGACGCGAGCGCAGCCGGGCUCUUGCAUCUCUGUAGCUUCGCCUAAGAGGCGGCGCAGGCACACGCACACACACACACACACACACACACACACACAAGCACGAGACACUACGCGCGCGCUGUUUGUGUGCGUCUAUGGCUCAUUCCUUUGCGCCUCAUCGAUGGUGCGCGCUGCCGCCCGUGCCGAAGCUAUCUUGCAUCUCCUCUGGCUCUAUGCUCGUUUUCAGCUCUCAUGGUGAUGAUGAUUUUCGAUGUGUGACCGCUUCCUAUGCCGCCGCUGCACCCCCCUCCCCUCCCCCUCCUCUCUAUUUCUGCAGACUGACGUGUGCUUGCUCGCAGUGGCACAUCCUCACUCGUUGUUCUUGUCUUUUGUGUGCUGCUGCUUUCAUUAUACUUCUUCUGGUGUCUCUACGCUUGCCGCACAACUGCCCCGCGCGGUGCGUGUGUGUGUGCGCGUGGGGGGGGAGGUGAUCCGAGCACUGCGCGUGCUCUUUCACUCUUUCUCCGCCCGAUCGCACUAUCACCACCCGAAUCACGCCUCGCGCGUUGUGCUGCGUCUGUGCUUCGUCUCCUCC
rnacentral:misc_RNA from 1 species